rnacentral:rRNA from 1 species
UCCUGGCUCAGAUUGAACGCUGGCGGCAUGCCUUACACAUGCAAGUCGAACGGUAACAGGUCUUCGGAUGCUGACGAGUGGCGAACGGGUGAGUAAUACAUCGGAACGUGCCCAGACGUGGGGGAUAACGAGGCGAAAGCUUUGCUAAUACCGCAUACGAUCUAAGGAUGAAAGCAGGGGACCGCAAGGCCUUGCGCGUUUGGAGCGGCCGAUGGCAGAUUAGGUAGUUGGUGGGGUAAAGGCCUACCAAGGCGACGAUCUGUAGCGGGUCUGAGAGGAUGAUCCGCCACACUGGGACUGAGACACGGCCCAGACUCCUACGGGAGGCAGCAGUGGGGAAUUUUGGACAAUGGGCGCAAGCCUGAUCCAGCCAUGCCGCGUGCGGGAUGAAGGCCCUAUGGGUUGUAAACUUCUUUUGUACGGGAAAAAACCUUCUUACGUGUAAGAAGCUGAUUGUACUGUAAGAAUAAGGAGUC